rnacentral:rRNA from 1 species
CGACCGGCGCNCGGGUGAGUAACACGUAUGCAACCUGGCCGUCACAGGUGGAUAACCGGAAGAAAUUCCGACUAAUACAGCAUAACACUCCUGAGGGACAUCCCUUGGGAGUCAAAGGAGGCAACUCCGGUGACGGAUGGGCAUGCGGCGCAUUAGGUAGUUGGUAGGGUAACGGCCUACCAAGCCGACGAUGCGUAGGGGUUCUGAGAGGAAGGUCCCCCACAUUGGAACUGAGACACGGUCCAAACUCCUACGGGAGGCAGCAG